UUCAUGUGGUAUAUGUGUCCCAAAUUUUGAUUAUGAAUUAAUAACAUAAUAUAUGACCAAAAGUAAGUCACUCAUUAGUUUCUCAUUUCUUUUCUGGUAGUUAUAUACUAAAUCUAGUGUACCUUAUACACCAAACUUUGUGUCAAGUCAGUAACUCACCAUUUAUGUCAAAGGUGACACAAAAGAAUCGGACAUGAUAGUUCUAUGAUUU